AAGUCGGGCCUGCCCACUGAGUAAUAGAAGGGCCGCGGUAUUUUCACCGUGCAAAGGUAGCAUAAACAUUAGUCUUUUAAUUGAGGGCUGGAAUGAAUGGUUUGACGAAGUAUUAACUGUCUCUUUAUUAUAUAUUGAAUUUAUCUUUAGAGUUAAAAGACUAAAAUACUUAUAUGGGACGAGCAGACCCUAUAGAGCUUUAUAUAGGUAUAAGAUAAAGUAUUUGAAGUUAAGUUUGUGUUUUUAUACUAUAUUAUGUUGGGGAGACAUAAAGAUUAAAGAAACUCUUUAUUUAUAUUUACAUUUAUUUAUGAUUACAUCAUCCAGUAUUAUUGAUAGAAAGAUAAAGUUACCUUACGGAUAUCAGCGUUUCCCCUUGAGAGUUCAUAUCGAAAGAGGAGUUUGCGACCUCGAUGUUGGACUAAAUGAAAGAUUAAAUGUACCAGUUAUAUUUAUAAGUCUGUUCGACUUUAUAAUUCUUAC
rnacentral:rRNA from 1 species